GUAUUUCAGUUAACACAUUAACAAAACCAAGAACAUUGACUUUUCAAGCACUGUAGUAGCAUUGAAAAAGACCUUAUAUAGAAACUUUCAUUUUAGAUGGAUUCAAACAUUCCAUAAGAAUUACCAAGAUCAUUGAGUACAAAUGCAACAACAGCAGUUCUACUUUGCUCAGACCUGUGAUAUUCUCUGUAAUUUGGUCAUCAUAUUCAUUAGUUCCAAUAAAAGAAAAAUUCAAAAUUCAGAUGCCUACAUCAUCAUUAAAUCCACAAGGAAAACAAAAUUUUUGGAAUCAACACUAAAUAUAUGAAAAUUACACAGUAACUGUUGAGAAUGCAAAAUCUCUCAGCUGAACUAAAUAUAUGGUAUAGGUGAACUGCUACUCAACAUUUUUUAACUGUCCAUCUUCUCCAUACAUGAAUGCCAACUAGUUUAGUGAGGCCAAGAAACGAAUCUGCAAAAUCAAUCAAAAGUCACGUAUAUCAUUGCCAUGAUUGGUAUUUAUUUGCAAACCAAGCAAUACAUCAUAGUAGUGACAGAUGGGUCACUCAAAAGAAAAAAGAAAA